rnacentral:lncRNA from 1 species
AGAAAAUUGGUUUGGGAUCUGAUUAUUUAGUUGGAUAUCUCACAAGAAUAUUAAUCAAGUAAUAACAUGAACAAUUUGUAACUUGCUUUUUUAUUCCUUCUGAACUCCUUAGGUUUUUUUUUUUCUUCUUCUUAUUUUUUAAGCAAAAUAUUUGCAUUUGGAAAAUUAAAUGGAAGAAAAGAUCAGGUGCAGAAUGAUAGCUUUUACAGGACUUACGGUUCUAUGCUGACAUAAAAAGGAUAAAGCAGUGAUUUCAGAAAGAGAAAACCACUUGAUUAUAUUCUGCUCUGAUACAAUCACAGCUGAAGAUAAACUGCUGGAAGUGGAUUACUGGAACAAAGGCCAUGAACUUUGAAGACUUUUGAUGAUAAAUGAGAGAAAAGAAAGUUUAUGGUUUGGUGCUGCAAUCUUCGACAGUGUUCUGCAGCAUUUAUAAUAGAAUUUUGCAGAUAUUAAAACAUUUUCCAGUGAAAAAUAGAACCUUGGGGAACUAGAAGGCCAAUCAUAAAGAAGGCGGAUGAAUUCUCUUGAGGAAUAUAUUAAGAAGACAUCCCACUGUGCUCAUAUAUCAACACCUUGAAUUCCCUUAAGGUACAUUUCCAGUGUCUUAAAUGAUCAGUUUCCAUCAAUUAUAAUUUCAACAACAGAAAAAUAAGUAAAUUAAGUGUAGCAUAUAUGUUUU